UGUGAGCUUAAUUUUAUUAUUUUUUUAAAUUUAAUUGGGCAGUACUUAUUAAUUACAAUAUAUUGUUCAUAAUGGUAACGUCUAGCUCAGUGUAUUGUAAUAAUAGAUCAACUUUGAAUGGUUCUUGAAUGGCAAUCAAUUAAGAUGUUUGCCCAAGAAAGGAAAGAACUCUAGAAUCAAUUGAACCAACUGUUAAAAGAGCACUAAAAUUAAGAUUUGCUUAUGGUUCGUCAGGGUAUGAAUCUCUUCUUGAUGAAGGAUUUCUUUUACCUUCACUGAGGACACUGUGCAGGAAAACUGAAGGCAUUUCAUUUGAAAGCGGUAUUUUGAAUGAUGUUUUUGACGUUUAAAAUAACGACCUUCAGAGAAAAACACAAAAAUUGUCUACUAUUGAUGAUAGUCCUCUAUGUUUGUUUUUGAGUGUUUUAAAAAUAAACUUCUUAGGGCUU
rnacentral:lncRNA from 1 species